rnacentral:rRNA from 1 species
CCAGACUCCUACGGGAGGCAGCAGUCGGGAAUAUUGCGCAAUGGAGGAAACUCUGACGCAGUGACGCCGCGUGCAGGAAGAAGGUUUUCGGAUUGUAAACUGCUUUAGACAGGGAAGAAACAAGACAGUACCUGUAGAAUAAGCCCCGGCUAACUACGUGCCAGCAGCCGCGGUAAUACGUAGGGGGCAAGCGUUAUCCGGAUUUACUGGGUGUAAAGGGAGCGUAGACGGCUGAGCAAGUCUGAAGUGAAAGGCGGGGGCCCAACCCCCGGACUGCUUUGGAAACUGUAUAGCUAGAGUGCAGGAGAGGUAAGUGGAAUUCCUAGUGUAGCGGUGAAAUGCGUAGAUAUUAGGAGGAACACCAGUGGCGAAGGCGGCUUACUGGACUGUAACUGACGUUGAGGCUCGAAAGCGUGGGGAGCAAACAGGAUUAGAUACCCGCGUAGA